UUCGAUUACAUUCAGAUUGAACGCUGGGCGGAUGCUUUACACAUGCAAGUCGAACGGCAGCACGGACUUCGGUCUGGUGGUGAGUGGCGUGAACGGGGUGAGUAAUGUAUCGGAACGUGCCUAGUAGCGGGGAUAACUACGCGAAAGGGUAGCUAAUACCGCAUAUUGCCCUUCGGGGAAAGCGGGGACCUUCGGGGCCUCGCACUAUUAGAGCGGCCGAUAUCGGAUUAGCUAGCGAAAACGGCUCACCAAGGCGACGAUCCGCAGCCGGGGUUAUUUGAGAGGACACCAGCCACACUGGGACUGAGACACGGCCCAGACUCACGGGAGGCAGCAGUGGGGAAUUUUGACAAUGGGGAAACCCUGAUCCAGCCAUCCUCCGCGUGUGCGAUGAAGGCCUUUCGGGGUUGUGUAAAAGCACUUUUGGCAGGUGAAACGCAUCGGGAUAAUACCCUGUGCAACUGGACGGCACUGCAGAAUAAGCAACGGCUAACUACGUGCCAGCAGCCGCGGUAAUACGUAGGGGUAAAGUGGGGCGUUAAUCGGAAUUACUGGGCGGAAGCGUGGGCAGGCGGUUCGGAAAGAAAGAUGUGAAAUCCCAGAGCUUUUAAUUUGAACUGCAUUUUUAACUACCGAGCGCAAGAGCGUGUUUGAGUAUGUGAAUUCCGCGGGCAGUGGGAAAUGCGUAGAUAUGAGAACACUGAUGGCAGUAGCAGCCUCCUGGGAUAACACUGACGCUCAUGCACGAAAGCGCGGGGAGCAAACAGGAUUAGAUACCCGGUAGUCCACGCCCUAAACGAUGUCAACUAGCUGUUGGGGCCUUCGGGCCUUUGGUAGCGGUGCCAACGCGAAGACCGCCUGGGGAGUACGGUCGCAAGAUUAAACUCAAAGAACGACGGGACCUGCACAAGCGGUGGAUGACGUGGAUAAUCUGAUGCAACGCGAAAACCUACCUACCCUUGACAUGUCUGAAUCCCGAAGAGAUUUGGGAGGCUGCAAGAGAACCGGAACACAGGUGCUGCAUGGCUGUCGUCAGCUCGUGUCGUGAGAUGUCGGGUUAAGUCCCGCAACGAGCGGCAACCCCUUGUCGUUAGUUGCGCUACGAAAGGGCACUCUGACGAGACUGCCGGUGACAACCGGAGGAAGGUGGGGAUGACGUCAAGUCCUCAUGGCCCUUAUGGGUAGGGCUUCACACGUCAUACAAUGGUCGGGACAGAGGGUCGCCAACCCGCGAGGGGGAGCCAACGAAUCCCAGAAACCCGAUCGUAGUCCGGAUCGCAGUCUGCAACUCGACUGCGUGAAGUCGGAAUCGCCAGGAAUCGCGGAUCAGCAUGGUGUCGCGUGUGAAUACGCCCGGCCCGGUACAGCUCCCGCCCGUCACACCAUGGGAGUGGGGUUUUACCAGAAGUAGUUAGCCUAACCGUAAGGAGGGCGAUUACCACGGUAGGAUUCAUGACUGGGGCGAAGUCGUAACAAGGUAG
rnacentral:rRNA from 1 species